rnacentral:rRNA from 1 species
ACGGGGCUUCGGCUCCGGCGCAAAGAGAGGCCCAAGUGAGAUUAGCUAGUUGGUAAGGUAACGGCUUACCAAGGCGACGAUCUCUAGCUGUUCUGAGAGGAAGAUCAGCCACACUGGGACUGAGACACGGCCCAGACUCCUACGGGAGGCAGCAGUGGGGAAUAUUGCACAAUGGGGGAAACCCUGAUGCAGCCAUGCCGCGUGUGUGAAGAAGGCCUUCGGGUUGUAAAGCACUUUCAGUUGUGAGGAAAAGUUAGUAGUUAAUACCUGCUAGCCGUGACGUUAACAACAGAAGAAGCACCGGCUAACUCCGUGCCAGCAGCCGCGGUAAUACGGAGGGUGCGAGCGUUAAUCGGAAUUACUGGGCGUAAAGCGCACGCAGGCGGUUUGUUAAGCUAGAUGUGAAAGCCCCGGGCUCAACCUGGGAUGGUCAUUUAGAACUGGCAGACUAGAGUCUUGGAGAGGGGAGUGGAAUUCCAGGUGUAGCGGUGAAAUGCGUAGAUAUCUGGAGGAACAUCAGUGGCGAAGGCGACUCCCUGGCCAAAGACUGACGCUCAUGUGCGAAAGUGUGGGUAGCGAACAGGAUUAGAUACCCUGGUAGUCCACACCGUAAACGCUGUCUACUAGCUGUGUGUGCCUUUAAGGCGUGCGUAGCGAAGCUAACGCGCUAAGUAGACCGCCUGGGGAGUACGGCCGCAAGGUU